CUGUUCUUCAUCCACAAACCCUCACUGCACGCGAAACCCUUCCGUCCACCACCAUCGGCAACCACCGUCGGCGUCCCUCCGUCGGCUUCUCCUCCGUCACUCGUUUUAUCCACCGCCGGUCUGACUGGAUUGAUAACUUUGGAUCUCUUUGGAGCUCGUAUCAUUGACUCUGGUACUACAUAUUUAGGAGGGUAACUUGUGUAUAGUGAAAGUUUGAUCGUUUCCCAGCCUAGUUCGACGUUUGGCGUUUUCUUGAGUUCGGUAACAUCCGAG